rnacentral:rRNA from 1 species
UACGGAGGGGGUUAGCGUUGUUCGGAAUUACUGGGCGUAAAGCGCGCGUAGGCGGACCAGAAAGUUGGGGGUGAAAUCCCGGGGCUCAACCCCGGAACGGCCUCCAAAACUCCUGGUCUUGAGUUCGAGAGAGGUGAGUGGAAUUCCGAGUGUAGAGGUGAAAUUCGUAGACAUUCGGAGGAACACCAGUGGCGAAGGCGGCUCACUGGCUCGAUACUGACGCUGAGGUGCGAAAGUGUGGGGAGCAAACAGG